rnacentral:rRNA from 1 species
CCUACGGGGGGCAGCAGUGAGGAAUAUUGGUCAAUGGGCGCGAGCCUGAACCAGCCAAGUCGCGUGAGGGAAGACGGUCCUAUGGAUUGUAAACCUCUUUUGUCGGGGAGCAAAAGACGCCACGCGUGGCGUUCCGAGAGUACCCGAAGAAAAAGCAUCGGCUAAAUCCGUGCCAGCAGCCGCGGUAAUACGGAGGAUGCGAGCGUUAUCCGGAUUUAUUGGGUUUAAAGGGUGCGCAGGCGGAAGAUCAAGCCAGCGGUAAAAUUGAGAGGCUCAACCUCUUCGAGCCGUUGAAACUGGUUUGCUUGAGUGAGUGAGAAGUAUGCGGAAUGCGUGGUGUAGCGGUGAAAUGCAUAGAUAUCACGCAGAACUCCGAUUGCGAAGGCAGCAUACCGGCGCUCAACUGACGCUCAUGCACGAAAGUGUGGGUAUCGAACAGGAUUAGAUACCCUUGUAGUC